GGUAGUCCACGCCCUAAACGAUGCUCACUAGGUGUUGGGGAAGCGAUUCCUUGGUACCGUAGCUAACGCGUGAAGUGAGCCGCCUGGGGAGUACGGCCGCAAGGUUAAAACUCAAAGGAAUUGACGGGGACCCGCACAAGCGGUGGAUGAUGUGGAUUAAUUCGAUGUAACGCGAACAACCUUACCUACCCUUGACAUGUCUGGAAGCCUGCUGAAAGGUGGGUGUGCCUGAAAGGGAACCGGAACACAGGUGCUGCAUGGCUGUCGUCAGCUCGUGUCGUGAGAUGUUGGGUUAAG
rnacentral:rRNA from 1 species